GUCCCCCCCCCAGUGCUAUCCGUGCAUCCUUAGCGAGCGGAGACACUGAGCCCACCCGUCCUACCCCCGCUGACCCUGGGAGGAUGUCUCGGUUGGAGGAGGAGGGCCAGGGUGGUGGGCGGAGCCUGGAGGCGACGCAGCGCGGACUGGGGCUGAUGGAGGACAGCGUCUGCUGGCUGCCGUUCAGAUAGGACGAGGUGUUGGAGCCCUGAUGGCUGCGGUAGUUGUAGUACGCCUGCCAGCCCUGACGCUUCCUCUUCCAACGACAGCGGAGGAUCCGGAUGAAGGCCUGAAGACACAGAACCACACACAAGUCAGCAGUUGUUGUAGUAGUAGUAGCCUCAUCAGCAGUAGUAUCAUUAGUAUCAGUAGUAGUAGCACCUGUUUGAAGUCGCGGCUGUAGCAGGAGUAGAUGAUGGGGUUCAGGCAGCUGUUGAAAUAUCCCAACCAGAAAAUGACCUUGAAGCAGGUUUCAGGAGGACGCAGGCUGCUGUUAAAAGACCCUGAAGACACCAACAGAUAAACAACAAACAGAUAAGCGGUGCUCAGCAUCACCUUCAUAUGUUCUCUAAACAAUCUGCCUCCAAACGUUCAGACUCUUGUUUUAUGAUCUGGAAACAAUCAAAGUUUAAUGCGUUGAAACUUUCAGUUUCAGCUGCAGCUCAGACUUUCACCACCGAGGGGCAGCGUUGGCCACAACGCCACAGGAGCUGCGACCACUUCUGUGACGGACAGCACUUGAAGCAUCAUCAUCAUCAUCCUCAUCCUCAUCCUCAUCAUCAUCAUCCUCAUCCUCAUCAUCAUCAUCAUCAUCCUCAUCAUCAUCAUCACACAGCAGGUGAUCUGCAGCAUGUCGGAGGAUCUCGGAGGAUUUGCUGGAUCAGGUGUUUGAUGUUCUUCAGAUAACACGGGCUGCUGAGCAGAAAGGAUUAUUUUCCCCCUGAACAUGGACUUGUAAGGUGAUCGUGCCCUCACGCUGCCGUCUCUGACUAUAUAUGAGGAAUUUCGCAGUGAAACCUGACGUCCGUCGUGGGAGAAAACAUGUGACACAAUCUCCGGAAUGAAAUGAAACUCGACUCGGCGUGAAGGCGAACACGUACCGAUGGGCAGGACCAGGAAGAAGGGCAGCCAGCAGAGGAUGAACAUGCCCACCACCACGCCCAGCGUCUUGGCCGCCUUCUUCUCCCUGGAGAACUUGAGCAGUUUGACGGACAGCGUGCUGCGCCCGGCCGAGGCCCCGGGG